AAAUUGGAUCACUAUCUGAAAAGUAAAAUAAAAUGUAUCUCUUGUAUAAAAUAAUAAUCAAAUUUCCAAUAUUGUAUUAAAUAUAUUUGUAUAACAAAACGCGUGUCUGCCCACGACCAGAGCAGAGAACCAGAAAACUCGGUGCGCUGCAGACAACUAGAAUAACUACAAAUAACCAAAUUAAGUUAGUUUUCGAUCGAUAUAAAAAAAAUAAACCAGUUGACAGUGUGCAGGUUUAGCGAGCCAUCUCCGAAGGAAACCCGACUGCGUCGCGAAUCCAUUUAUAUUCUGUAGGGUGACUCUUUUAAUGGUACGAUGACUCAUCGGAACAACAACUUUCCUUUGGUUUAUUUAUACAAUAUUAAUACACACCAUUGUGGUUUCAAACAACUACAAGCAAAAUGGUACUUAUUGGCUAUACAUAUACUUCUAUAAUCAAUGCUACUAUUUCAUACCUUGUUUUGAAAUACGACAAAUUAAACACGAAAAAUCACCGAUAUUUUCUAAUGACAAUAAUAAAAAAAACUCCAAUAGUUGUCUUACAAUGAAUUUUUCAAUUAUUUAUAUAAAUUGAGCUAUACGAAAAAAAACAAAAGGCUGUGAGUGGAGAAAUUUGGCGUUGGUAUUUUGAAAACACAUCUCGCCCAUCUGUUUUGUGUUUAUAAAUGUUAUAAUUAUUAUUUUUUCAUCUA